AUGAAUCAAUCAGAGAAUAUAAGCCAUCAAGCUGGCCAAGCAGCAGGACAAGCUCAGGAGAAAGGAAACAACAUGAUGGACAAGGCAAGCAAUGUUGCACAAUCUGCUAAAGAAUCUUGCCAAGAGGCUGGUCAGCAAAUGAAGACAAAAAUACAAGAGAAUAUUGAUGCUUUGAAGAGUAACGAUGGUGCAAACAAAUGA